GGUCAAGCGAAUAAGCGCACACGGUGGAUGCCUUGGCGGUCAGAGGCGAUGAAGGACGUGGCAGCCUGCGAAAAGUAUCGGGGAGCUGGCAACAAGCUUUGAUCCGGUAAUGUCCGAAUGGGGAAACCCACCCGCUUGCGGGUAUCCUGCAGUGAAUACAUAGCUGCUGGAAGCGAACCUGGUGAACUGAAAUAUCUAAGUAACCAGAGGAAAAGAAAUCAACCGAGAUUCCGUAAGUAGCGACGAGCGAACGCGGACUAGCCCUUAAGCUGAUUUGGUUCUAGGAAAACGCUCUGGAAAGAGCGGCCAUAGAAGGUGAUAGCCCUGUAUCUGAAAGGGCCAUUCCAGUGAAGACGAGUAGGGCGGGGCACGUGAAACCCUGUCUGAACAUGGGGGGACCAUCCUCCAAGGCUAAAUACUACUGACCGACCGAUAGUGAACCAGUACCGUGAGGGAAAGGCGAAAAGAACCCCGGAGAGGGGAGUGAAAUAGAACCUGAAACCGUGUGCGUACAAGCAGUAGGAGCUCCGCAAGGAGUGACUGCGUACCUUUUGUAUAAUGGGUCAGCGACUUACUGUUCGUGGCAAGCUUAACCGUAUAGGGGAGGCGAAGGGAAACCGAGUCUGAUAAGGGCGCAUAGUCGCGGGCAGUAGACCCGAAACCGGGUGAUCUAGUCAUGCCCAGGGUGAAGGUGCGGUAACACGCACUGGAGGCCCGAACCCACUCCCGUUGCAAAGGUAGGGGAUGAGGUGUGAUUAGGAGUGAAAAGCUAAUCGAACCCGGAGAUAGCUGGUUCUCCUCGAAAGCUAUUUAGGUAGCGCCUCAUAUGUAUCCUCUCGGGGGUAGAGCACUGUUAUGGCUAGGGGGUCAUCGCGACUUACCAAACCAUUGCAAACUCCGAAUACCGAGACGGACUGUAUGGGAGACACACGGCGGGUGCUAACGUCCGUCGUGAAAAGGGAAACAACCCAGACCCACAGCUAAGGUCCCAAAUUCACUGCUAAGUGGAAAACCAUGUGGAAAGGCACAGACAGCCAGGAGGUUGGCUUAGAAGCAGCCACCCUUUAAAGAAAGCGUAAUAGCUCACUGGUCGAGUCGGUCUGCGGGGAAGAUUUAACGGGGCUAAGCAGUGAACCGAAGCUUGGGGUGCAUAACUUUGUUAUGCGCGGUAGAGGAGCGUUCCGUAAGCCGUUGAAGGUGGAUUGAGAAGUCUGCUGGAGGUAUCGGAAGUGCGAAUGCUGACAUGAGUAACGAUAAUGCGGGUGAAAAACCCGCACGCCGAAAGCCCAAGGUUUCCUUGCGCAACGUUAAUCGGCGCAGGGUGAGUCGGCCCCUAAGGCGAGGACGAAAGUCGUAGUCGAUGGGAAGCAGGUUAAUAUUCCUGCACCUCGCGUAAGUGCGAUGGAGGGACGGAGAAGGUUAGGUGUACCAGGCGUUGGUUGUCCUGGGGAAAGGCGGUAGGUUUGGAUCUUUGGCAAAUCCGGGAUCCUUUAAGACCGAGCACCGAGACGAGCCUUUAUGGCGAAGUCACUGAUACCACGCUUCCAGGAAAAGCUCCUAAGCUUCAGCUUACGCAGACCGUACCGUAAACCGACACAGGUGGGUAGGAUGAGAAUUCUCAGGCGCUUGAGAGAACUCGGGUGAAGGAACUAGGCAACAUGGCACCGUAACUUCGGGAGAAGGUGCACCCUUUUUGGUGGCUCGUGCGAGCUAUAGCUGAAGAGGGUCGCAGUAACCAGGCCGCUGCGACUGUUUAUCAAAAACACAGCACUCUGCAAACACGAAAGUGGACGUAUAGGGUGUGACGCCUGCCCGGUGCUGGAAGGUUAAUUGAUGGGGUCAGCCGCAAGGCGAAGCUCUUGAUCGAAGCCCCAGUAAACGGCGGCCGUAACUAUAACGGUCCUAAGGUAGCGAAAUUCCUUGUCGGGUAAGUUCCGACCUGCACGAAUGGCGUAACGACAGCGGCGCUGUCUCCACCCGAGACUCAGUGAAAUUGAAAUCGCUGUGAAGAUGCAGCGUUCCCGUGGCAAGACGGAAAGACCCCGUGAACCUUUACUAUAGCUUUACACUGAACGUUGAGUUCGUCUGUGUAGGAUAGGUGGGAGGCUAUGAAACUGUGGCGCUAGCUGCAGUGGAGCCAUCCUUGAAAUACCACCCUGUCGUGCUUGACGUUCUAACCUGGGCCCAUUAUCUGGGUCGGGGACCGUGUAUGGUGGGUAGUUUGACUGGGGCGGUCUCCUCCUAAAGAGUAACGGAGGAGCUCGAAGGUACGCUCAGCGCGGUCGGACAUCGCGCACUGUGUGCAAAGGCAUAAGCGUGCUUGACUGCAAGAUCGACGGAUCAAGCAGGUAGGAAACUAGGACUUAGUGAUCCGGUGGUUCUGUAUGGAAGGGCCAUCGCUCAACGGAUAAAAGGUACUCCGGGGAUAACAGGCUGAUACCGCCCAAGAGUUCAUAUCGACGGCGGUGUUUGGCACCUCGAUGUCGGCUCAUCACAUCCUGGGGCUGUAGUCGGUCCCAAGGGUAUGGCUGUUCGCCAUUUAAAGUGGUACGCGAGCUGGGUUCAGAACGUCGUGAGACAGUUCGGUCCCUAUCUGCCAUGGGCGUUGGAGAUUUGAGAGGGGCUGCUCCUAGUACGAGAGGACCGGAGUGGACGAACCUCUGGUGUUCCGGUUGUCACGCCAGUGGCAUUGCCGGGUAGCUAUGUUCGGAAGCGAUAACCGCUGAAAGCAUCUAAGCGGGAAGCGCGCCUCAAGAUGAGAUCUCCCGGGGCACAAGCCCCCUGAAGGAACCAUGUAGACUACGUGGUUGAUAGGUCAGGUGUGUAAGUACAGCAAUGUAUUGAGCUAACUGAUACUAAUGAUCCGUGCGGCUUGACCAU
rnacentral:rRNA from 1 species